CUGGGGGCAAUAGGGAGUAGCACAAGGCAUUUAUCUAUAACACCUGCUUUGACCAUAUCCAAUUUGCGAGGAGCCCGGUCUUUCCCCAACUUUAUUAAAGCACAGAUGCUACCUUCAAUAAGUCGAAAAUUAGUCCCAGAAACCAAGCCAACAAGAAGAUCCACAAGAAUAUCAUAAGCUGCAGCAAGCUCCACCUGCUGUUCAUCAUCCAACAAUCUCUCAAAAGCACAAACCCCAGCUUCCACAACCAAACUUAUAUUAGACUGCAUAAGAGACAGAAGAGGCUACAUGCACUCUGAGGCAAUUGGAUCUGCUCUGAAUUUGGCAUUGCUAAACAGAAUAAAGCAAAGCUGUGCAACACAUCUCUUCAAUUCCAAGGAACACGAAGAAGAUAAUAUCUUGCAUAAAGUCUCA
rnacentral:misc_RNA from 1 species